UUCGUAGGCGGUGUGGCAAGUCGGGAGUGAAAUCUAUGGGCUUAACCCAUAGGCUGCUUCCGAAACUGCUGUGCUUGAGUGUGGGAGAGGCGCGUGGAAUUGCAGGUGUAGCGGUGAAAUGCGUAGAUAUCUGCAGGAACACCCGUGGCGAAAGCGGCGCGCUGGACCACAACUGACGCUGAGGAACGAAAGCUAGGGGAGCAAACAGGAUUAGAUACCCUGGUAGUCCUAGCCCUAAACGAUCAGGACUUGGGGUGCCGCCCGUUCGGGCGUCGUCCCGGAGCUAACGCGUUAAGUCCUGCACCUGGGACGUACGGUCGCAAGACUGAA
rnacentral:rRNA from 1 species